AUACAUAAAAACUGUGUUUUGUUUCUCUCUAUAAAAGAAUUCCCUCAACACUUCAUCUCUCUCACACAAACUUCUUCCCCUACCAAAACUAAGAGCCCAUAGAUCCUAGCUUGUCCUGAGAAUAGUGAGGAUUCUAAGUGGUGGUGUCUAUAAGUUUUCCUGUACUUGUGUUGAAGAUUUUCCUGUACAUGUUUGUUUGAGAUCCAAUAAGGAAUUUUUUGUUCGUGAGUUCAUGAGUUCGGAGAGAUCAGUUCAAGAGAAGAAAUACGUGAAGAUAGUAUUCAAGGGUUAGUAUUUCUUAUCCUUUCUCCUCCCAAAAAGCAUGAUAUAAGUAAAUGUUUAUUCCGUAUUAUGAGUUUUAUUUCUUUGUUUUGUGUAUUUUUCAAAAUUGACUGUCAUUGGCAUGGUGUUCACACGCUUCCGUGAGGAUUCAAUUCCUUCAAUAACUCGAUUUCAAUCCUGAGUGAGUUGUGAUUCCUGCUCAUGAGGGUCGUUCUUUAAUUUGUACAAGUGAGAAUGACCUUAGUUGCAGACUCAAUAUACCUAUCACUUAAAGGGAGAUACCGAGUGGGGAGCUGGGAACAUAGCUACACAAGAUGGAAUUCACUCUUUCUUCACUUGAGAGUAAGUAGAAAGGUUGUUGCCUUAACUGCUAACUCCAGGAUUUGAACAGCAAGGCCUCACCCUCUCGCUUGCAUGAGAGAGACUUGAUUUGUGGUAGGACCAUAAAUAAAUUGUUCAUUAGAGGAGUAAAAGGGAAGUGGUGAGUGGGAAAGGGAGUCAUAAACUCUCCUCACGGUUAUAUGGGAAAUGAUCUCGCAAGUUCUUCUAAGUUUUUUCUAAAGAGAAAAAAGACAUUCUCGCUCACUCUCUCUCAAGAAAAACUCUCUGCACCUCUUCUUCUCAUUUCAAUUGGUUCCCACAAACCAUCCUUGUCCAAGAGGAUAAUGGAGUAGAUAUACUUACUGGUGUCUCAUUCUUGACGAGUUUGUAUGUGUCGUUGAAAAAUCAAUCAAAUCGGGAGAAGAUAUCGAAGACUGUUCUUCAAAGAUAUAAACCUUGAGGAGAGGAGAUUACAAAGGGAAAGAGCAAGAAGAGAACAAGAAAAACUUGAAGUGUUAAACCAACAUCAAGAAGAAGAAUAACCUCAACCGUAAGCAGGGGCAAAGCAAGAGAACGAACAUUGUGAGAACUAGCGAAGCCGAACUAUAAUCAACAACCUUUGUACAUCGUGUAUCCAGAGACAACCAUCCCAUUUGAGCUCAAACCGAGGAUUGUUCAUCUCCUACCUACUUUUGGAGGCCAACCCGACGAAGACCUACACGAACAUAUGAAGGAGUUUCAUCUACCAUGUGAUGGAAUGCGUCCGCAUGGGAUAACCCAAGAACAACCUAAUCUUAGGGCUUUCCCUUCUCUAUGAAGGAUGUGGCCAAAUAUUGGUUGUACUACUUGCCAAUGGGAUCAAUCACUACUUGGAGCGGGUUGAAGAAGAAAUUUUUAGAAAAAUUAGUUCCGACAUCUAAAGCUAAUAACAUAAGAAAAGAAAUAUAUGGAAUUAAGCAAAGUGUUGGAGAAUCUUUGUAUGAAUACUGAGAAAGAUACAAACAAUUGUGUGCUUCUUUUCCACAUCACCAAAUAUCUGAACAAUAUCUAAUCCAAUAUUUUUACUAAGGUUUACUUCCAUCCAAGAGAAGUAACAUUGAUAUGUCUGCCAAUGGAGCUUUAGCGGACAAAACAUCGACUGAAGCAAGCCAACUCAUAUCAACAAUGGCGGAGAACUCUCAGAAUUUUGGCACAAGGACUCUUGAUGACACUGUUUCUCAAUCUAGUGAAGUAAGUGAGCUAAGGACGCAAGUGUUGAGUUUUUAUCCUAAAACUAA